GGACUUGGAUUUAUAUUGCAUCCAAGCUGCCUACGUACCCAAACGGGAUCAAGUCGAACGUAGUUCAUUACAAAAGAGAACGGAAAACAUACAUGGGCACGCAGGCCCGCUAAACUAGAAAUAAAAUGCAGAAAAAGAAAAUCUCCUCAAAGGCGUCGGGAAUUUUACUUGUAAUAUAUUUUCAGAUUGUCGGCAUUCCAGGGCCUCGGAAGAGGUCUUCCCGAAGUGUCUCUUAGGCUGUAUGCUCCCUUGCGAACCUGCCGUAUGACCUCAAAGGGCCCUUCCCAGACGGGCCCGAGCUUCCCUGGGGGGUGGCCUGCUGCUUCGGCCCUCCUCAAGACCAAAUCGCCAGCUCUGAACCUCCGAGCCUUGACUUUGCGAUUAAAAUGUUUUGCUGUCUUUGCUUGGUAAGAGGCCACUUUUAUAGCGGCUUGCUCCCGUACUUCUUCCAAGAG
rnacentral:lncRNA from 1 species